rnacentral:lncRNA from 1 species
CCAGUUUACUAGAUAUUGAAGGAGGAAGGGAAAAGAGUUUGUGCUAACUCAUUUGACCUUGGAAUUGAAUCCUUACUUUAUGUUUUCUCCAGGGAAGACGUAUUCUGAAGAACACGGAGAUAAACUGUGAUAAGAGCUCAUCAGCCCAGGAUUUGGGUGAGGUAGAUUCUGGCCUCCAUUGUGAUGUUAACUGGAAUACACAACGUUAUCUUCAUCUGCAUCCACUUUUAACUUCUCCAAGGACUGACAAAAGAUAUGAGAGAAAAGUGGAGGGUAGAAGGCGAUGUAAGCAUAUCUGUACCAGUUGAGACAUCUGUAUAGAGCAAAGGUACUAAAGCAAGCAGACCUGAAGUUGGCCAUACAUCAAUGGCGUUCAGGAGACACAGAAGGAAAGCGUCGGUGGCACCCUGAAACGGAAUCCAUCAUCCACAAUCAUGUGGACCAUCCAUGACUGUUCCAUCAGGAGAAAUACAAAGAUCUCUUCCUGCCUUCCCAAGUUGAGCACAAAGUCAUGACUGCUAUGGUUUGGCUGUUUUUGGCUCCAAACCAUGGCAGUCCUGGCCUCCGAAAUGCAUGUUGGAACUGAAUCCCCUGUGCAUCAGUGUUGGGAGGUGGGGCCUAUGGGAAGUUGUUUGGGUCCUGAGGCUCUGCCCUCAUGAAUGAACUAAUGCCACUAUAAAUAGUGCUCGUGAGCGUGGGUUUGCUCUUCCACUUUUCCGCCACGUGAGGACCUGGAGUUUCUCCCCUCCAGAAGAUGCAGCAUUGGAGACACCAUCUUGGCAGCAGAGACACAGGGCCCUAAGCUGCCAGUGCCUUAAUCCUGGACUUCCCAGCCUCCAGAACUGUGAGAGAAUAAAUAUCUAUUCUUUAUAAGUUACCCGGUCUCAACUAUUCUCUUACAGCAGCACAAAAUGAACUAAGAAAAUUACAUUGAUGUGUGGCCAAUUAGCAGUCAUUGGAAUAAAAGCAAGCAUAAACAGAUCACAUAACACAAAAUAUUUACAGCGUGACUUUGGGCAAGUCACUUAGCUGCUCUAUAGUUUCAUUUCCUUACUGGGCAUCACUUUCUCAUGGAAAAGUAAUACAACACAUACAUAAUAAAUUUCACUAGGAC